GCUCAAAUUUGAAAUCUGGCCUCGGCCCGAGUUGUAAUUUGCAGAGGAUGCUUCUGGCGCGGUGCCUUCCGAGUUCCCUGGAACGGGACGCCACAGAGGGUGAGAGCCCCGUAUGGUCGGACACCAAGCCUGUGUGAAGCUCCUUCGACGAGUCGAGUAGUUUGGGAAUGCUGCUCUAAAUGGGAGGUAAAUCUCUUCUAAAGCUAAAUACCGGCCAGAGACCGAUAGCGCACAAGUAGAGUGAUCGAAAGAUGAAAAGCACCUUGAAAAGGGGGUUAAAUAGUACGUGAAAUUGUUGAAAGGGAAGCACUUGUGACCAGACUUGGGCCGGGCGGCUCAUCAGGGGUUCUCCCCUGUGCACUCCGCCCGGCACAGGCCAGCAUCGGUUCUCGUGGGGGGAUAAGACCGUCAGGAACGUAGCACCCUCCGGGGUGUGUUAUAGCCUGGCGGACGAUACCCCCGUGGGGACCGAGGUUCGCGCUCCGCAAGGAUGCUGGCGUAAUGGUCACCAGUGACCCGUCUUGAAACACGGACCAAGGAGUCGUCCAUUAGAGCGAGCGUUUGGGUGUAAAACCCGCACGCGUAAUGAAAGUGAACGCAGGUGAGAGCUUCGGCGCAUCAUCGACCGAUCCUGAUGUUCUCGGAAGGAUUUGAGUAAGAGUUUUAACGGACGGACCCGAAAGACAGUGAACUAUGCUUGUAUAGGGUGAAGCCAGAGGAAACUCUGGUGGAGGCUCGCAGCGGUUCUGACGUGCAAAUCGAUCGUCAAAUAUGAGCAUGGGGGCGAAAGACUAAUCGAACUGUCUAGUAGCUGGUUACCGCCGAAGUUUCCCUCAGGAUAGCAGUGUUGAUCUUCAGUUUUAUGAGGUAAAGCGAAUGAUUAGGGACUCGGGGGCGCUAUAUAGCCUUCAUCCAUUCUCAAACUUUAAAUAUGUAAGAAGC
rnacentral:rRNA from 1 species